GAAGAUUAGACAGAUAGAUAAAUAAUGAUAAGCCAGCCAGUAUAUUUCAAAAGUACAACAGAAACAUAUGAAGACACUGCAAAAGGGGGAUAAGAAAUAUGUAGUCAGCAAGAAAGUUGAUCUAAAAGGAAUUGCAAUGAAUCAACGACUGCCACAUGACUUGGAUUAAAGUUACUCACAAUAUAUCCCUCCCUACAACAGCUACGGCCAGAAAAAGACCAUCCGACAGUAAUGCUGCAGGUGUGGCAUGAUAAAGAUCCCUCCCUACUCAAAGGUCCUCAGCGCCGAGCAUAAGCUGAAAUUUUGCAGCCCUUCACCGGCAGUGAUGACAUCUCUAUGUGCCUGCGGUCUAUGCUACUACCACAGUAUUCCGGGUAGACACUAACAUCUUGCAGGACUAUCCUUGAUUCACUUGACCAGCAGCCGAAUACUACAAGCUGUGUUGACAUUUCUUAACAAGUUAGCAACAUGGGAGGCGGGACUGUGCUCUGCUGGAGGAGACAUUUCUCCUGCUUGCAUGGAAAUGCCUUAAAAACAGAUGUCGGAUAAUCAUGGAUGUAAGAUCUGAAGUACAUGCAUGUUCCACCUCAACAAAUCAAACAAAGGUGGAUAAGUUAUUCCUGCAAUGGAGAGAUAAAGGAUUGUCAACAACAGCAAUGCUUUGGAAACUGGUUCCUGUUCACCUGCGCCCAUAUACCUUGUGUGUCUAUUGUGAAGGACCAUCGUUUAAGCCAUGACUCUAUCUAUCUACUCCAUAACCCCAAUAACUUGGAUAAGGCUGAGACUAGUGUUGAUAGUCUUGUAAAUGUUAUAUCAUUGCCAAAACUACAUUGUAAAAUUUGAAUGAUUUCUGUGUCAUCAAUGACGAAAUACUACCAUUCUAGAGGAAAAUAUCAAUUAGAUAUAGACUUCAUUUAUGUACAUCAGCAUCUAGUUUAAAUUGUAUGCGAAAGAAAAUACAUGGUGUUGAAAACUUGUAA